rnacentral:rRNA from 1 species
GACGAACGCUGGCGGCGUGCCUAAUACAUGCAAGUCGAGCGGACGAAUCGAAAGCUUGCUUUUGAUUCGUUAGCGGCGGACGGGUGAGUAACACGUGGGCAACCUGCCCUGUAGACGGGGAUAACACCGAGAAAUCGGUGCUAAUACCGGAUAACACGAAAUGUCGCAUGACGUUUCGUUGAAAGACGGCGCAAGCUGUCGCUACAGGAUGGGCCCGCGGCGCAUUAGCUAGUUGGUGAGGUAACGGCUCACCAAGGCGACGAUGCGUAGCCGACCUGAGAGGGUGAUCGGCCACACUGGGGCUGAGACACGGCCCAGACUCCUACGGGAGGCAGCAGUAGGGAAUCUUCCGCAAUGGACGAAAGUCUGACGGAGCAACGCCGCGUGAGCGAAGAAGGCCUUCGGGUCGUAAAGCUCUGUUGUUAGGGAAGAACAAGUAACGCAGUAACUGGCGUUACCGUGACGGUACCUAACGAGAAAGCCACGGCUAACUACGUG